rnacentral:rRNA from 1 species
CCUACGGGAGGCUGCAGUGAGGAAUAUUGGUCAAUGGACGAGAGUCUGAACCAGCCAAGUAGCGUGAGGGAUGACUGCCCUAUGGAUUGUAAGCUUCUUUUAUAUGGGAGUAAAAGAUUCCACGUGUGGGAUUUUGUAUGUCCCAUAUGAAUAAGGAUCGGGUAACUCCGUGCCAGCAGCCGCGGUAAUACGGAGGAGCCGAGCGUUAUCCGGAUUUAUUGGGUGUAAAGGGAGCGUAGGUGGAGUGUUAGGUCAGUUGUGAAAGUGUGGGGCUCAACCGUACGAGUGCAGUUGAAACUGGCCGGCUUGAGUGCAGGAGAGGUAGGUGGAAUUCGUGGUGUAGCGGUGAAAUGCUUAGAUAUCACGAAGAACGCCGAUUGCGAAGGCAGUUCACUGGACUGCAACUGACGCUGAGGCUCGAAAGUGUGGGUAUCAAACAGGAUUAGAUACCCGAGUAGUC